rnacentral:rRNA from 1 species
UGCCCAAUGAAUUGAUUUAAUGGCCGCAGUAUUUUGACUGUGCAAAGGUAGCAUAAUCAUUAGUUUCUUAAUUAGAAACUGGAAUGAAUGGUUGAACGAAAAAGUAACUGUCUCUUUAUAAAUUUUUUAGAAUUUUAUUUUUAAGUUAAAAAGCUUAAAUUUUUUUAAAAGACGAGAAGACCCUAUAGAGUUUAAUAUAUUUUAUUAUAAUAAUUUUUUUAGUAAUUUUGAAAUUUUAUAAUAAAAUAUAUUUAAUUGGGGUGAUUAAAAAAUUUAUUAAACUUUUUUUUUAUAAAAACAUUGAUUUAUGAUUUUUUGAUCCAUUUAUAAUGAUUAUAAGAUUAAAUUACCUUAGGGAUAACAGCGUAAUUUCUUUUUAGAGUUCUAAUCGAUCAAGAAGUUUGCGACCUCGAUGUUGGAUUAAAAUUAAAUUUUGGUGUAGAAGCUAAAAAAUUUAGGUCUGUUCGACCUUUAAAAUUUUACAUGAUCUGAGUUUAAACCGGUGUGAGCCAGGUUGGUUUCUAUCUUUAAAUGGAAUAAAAAUAGUUUAGUACGAAAGGACCAAUUAUUAAUAAUAAUUUAU